CGACCGCAAACGGUGUCGUUCACCGGGAGCCAAGGCCAUACGGACAGCCGGGUCGAAUGCCGA
rnacentral:sRNA from 12 species